rnacentral:rRNA from 1 species
AUUGAACGCUGGCGGCAUGCUUUACACAUGCAAGUCGGACGGCAGCACAGAGAAGCUUGCUUCUUGGGUGGCGAGUGGCGAACGGGUGAGUAAUAUAUCGGAACGUACCGAGUAAUGGGGGAUAACUAAUCGAAAGAUUAGCUAAUACCGCAUAUUCUCUGAGGAGGAAAGCAGGGGACCUUCGGGCCUUGCGUUAUUCGAGCGGCCGAUAUCUGAUUAGCUAGUUGGUGGGGUAAAGGCCUACCAAGGCGACGAUCAGUAGCGGGUCUGAGAGGAUGAUCCGCCACACUGGGACUGAGACACGGCCCAGACUCCUACGGGAGGCAGCAGUGGGGAAUUUUGGACAAUGGGCGCAAGCCUGAUCCAGCCAUGCCGCGUGUCUGAAGAAGGCCUUCGGGUUGUAAAGUACUUUUGUCAGGGAAGAAAAGGCUGUUGCUAAUAUCGACAGCUGAUGACGGUACCUGAAGAAUAAGCACCGGCUAACUACGUG